CCCUGGACAAAGACUGACGCUCAGAUGCGAAAGCGUGGGUAGCAAACGGGAUUAGAUACCCCGGUAGUCCACGCUGUAAACGAUGUCUACUUGGAGGUUGUUGCCUUGAGCAGUGACUUUCGAAGCUAACGCGUUAAGUAGACCNNNUGGGGAGUACGGUCGCAAGAUUAAAACUCAAAUGAAUUGACGGGGGCCCGCACAAGCGGUGGAGCAUGUGGUUUAAUUCGAUGCAACGCGAAGAACCUUACCUACUCUUGACAUCCAGAGAAGCUUGAAGAGAUUCGAGUGUGCCUUCGGGAACUCUGAGACAGGUGCUGCAUGGCUGUCGUCAGCUC
rnacentral:rRNA from 1 species